AGGGAAUCUUCCGCAAUGGACGAAAGUCAGACGGAGCAACGCCGCGUGAGUGAAGAAGGCCUUCGGGUCGUAAAACUCUGUUGCCGGGGAAGAACAAGUGCCGUUCGAACAGGGCGGCGCCUUGACGGUACCCGGCCAGAAAGCCACGGCUAACUACGUGCCAGCAGCCGCGGUAAUACGUAGGUGGCAAGCGUUGUCCGGAAUUAUUGGGCGUAAAGCGCGCGCAGGCAGCUUCUUAAGUCUGAUGUGAAAGCUUGCGGCUCAACCGCAAGCGGUCAUUGGAAACUGGGAGGCUUGAGUGCAGAAGAGGAGAGUGGAAUUCCACGUGUAGCGGUGAAAUGCGUAGAGAUGUGGAGGAACACCAGUGGCGAAGGCGACUCUCUGGGCUGUAACUGACGCUGAGGCGCGAAAGCGUGGGGAGCAAAC
rnacentral:rRNA from 1 species